AACAAGUAUUAUUUUUCUAUUUACAUUAACAAUAAAUUCUAAUUAUUUGUGAUUGUAAUUGUGACACCAAUUUUCCUCUCUAUCUAUCCCUGGCUAACUUUCGAUGUAUAAAGGACGAGAGAGAAUGGUUGGAGGGGCAUCAAAUUGAUAGUUACAUGUGUUGCCUAAGGCAUUUAUUGUCUCGUCAUCUGUACAACGCAAAUUACGUUAUCUUGUCAACUGGGUUAUUUGUGAUUGCUGCACUCAUCUUAAAUUUUUUUUUUUUUUGUUAUAUCAUAAUUUAGGUUGCGAUCAAUGUUUUUAUUUGAUUUUGCAGGCAUCUAUAAUUGAAUUUUGGGAAAUAUAAUAUGGGGGGACAACAUGAGGGUUUUUGUGCCUUUUAUGGUGACUGUCUUGAAACAUUUGGCCAAUUUCGUCGACGAGGGCAUUAACGGGAAUCUACCUUAGUGGACGAUCAACUAUAUAAAUGUUAUUUAAUUUUAUUUUAUUCAUGAUUUCUGUACAACUAACGUAUUGAAAUAAAUGCAGGUGUUGCUCUCAUGUAAUUACCAGAAUUAUCACUAGUUUCUCAUAAAGAUUUAUUUAAAUGAUAGAAAAGUUGUCAUAUAUGACUCCAAUGCCAAGAUUGAAGACAGUUGGAGGAUUAGGGAAGAAUCUGUACAACCACUAGUGAGCCUUCUACCUAUUCUACAAAAGAGCAUUGCAUAUUACGAGCAUGUAACUGUAACCGUGACUCUAGAAAGAGAAUGGGAUGUGGAGAGUACUGAUUCUCAGAAUGUGCCUCAACAAAAAAAAACAGGUGCUUCGUUUUAAAAUAUGUUAAGGAUAUCUUUAGGCAUAAUGAUGAUCAUUGGCAGAUACAACCAACUCCAGAUGUUCGCACACUCCAUAGGCAGAUUGAAAUAUUUUUUUUAUAGACAUAGCACUAUAGUAGAAUAGUAUUACAUCCUUAGGUAUAAAGGGAUAUAUAUUUUUGUUAUGUAAUUAGAAUUUUUCAUCUAGUUCAAAUGAUAUAUAUUUUGUAUAUAAAUUGCUUAGUUGAUGAUUUUUGCAGAUAUGAUGUGGUUUGUGGUGUUGUUGAGGGUAAGGGAGAAGUGGUUGUGUGGUGGUGGAUUUCUAAUGCAGGUUCAAUGGCCAAAAAUAGGGGAGAAUUUGUCAAAUUUUUUUAAAAUUUUAAUUAUUUAAAUGUGUAGACUCAAGAGAAUGAAAAAAUAUAUCUCGCAAAGUAUGUGGUUAUAAUCGAAUUUUGUAUUUGAAAAUGAAUUAGUUUUAAAUAUUGUAAUUUAAAGAGAUCAUAAAUUUUAAAUUAACAAAAUUCAUUUUUGUUAAAUUAAUUUUGGUUAAUAUCUUUCAAUAUUUUAUUUAAAUAAUAUUAUUUCUUUAAUUGUGCAUAUUGAUUGAGUUACAAUCCUACAAAAAAAUUUAAAAAUUAAAAUAAAUUAUAUUACCGAAUUUAGUGGUCCAUAAAACUACUUCCAUUAUAAUUUCAAAAUUACACUUCCAUUGUAAUAAGGUUAGUGUACGUGUUUUGCUCUAUAAAAUACUAAUAUGUUAUGUAGUAAAAAAAUAAAUAAACAUAGCAAACAAAAAAAUAAAUAUUUUCAUUCCAUUAGAAAAAAUAAAAUGUACAUGACAAAAAAAAAAAAAAAGUACAAUAAAAAAAUCAAAAACAAAAUAAAUAUCCAUUCAUCGAUUA